rnacentral:tRNA from 1 species
GUAAAUAUAGUUUAACACAAAACACUAGAUUGUGAAUCUAGCAACAGAGGCUCAAACCUUCUUAUUUACC